GAGUGGCGAACUGGUGAGUAACACGUGGGAAACCUGCCCAGAAGCGGGGGAUAACACCUGGAAACAGAUGCUAAUACCGCAUAACAACUUGGACCGCAUGGUCCGAGUUUGAAAGAUGGCUUCGGCUAUCACUUUUGGAUGGUCCCGCGGCGUAUUAGCUAGAUGGUGGGGUAACGGCUCACCAUGGCAAUGAUACGUAGCCGACCUGAGAGGGUAAUCGGCCACAUUGGGACUGAGACACGGCCCAAACUCCUACGGGAGGCAGCAGUAGGGAAUCUUCCACAAUGGACGAAAGUCUGAUGGAGCAACGCCGCGUGAGUGAAGAAGGGUUUCGGCUCGUAAAACUCUGUUGUUAAAGAAGAACAUAUCUGAGAGUAACUGUUCAGGUAUUGACGGUAUUUAACCAGAAAGCCACGGCUAACUACGUGCCAGCAGCCGCGGUAAUACGUAGGUGGCAAGCGUUGUCCGGAUUUAUUGGGCGUAAAGCGAGCGCAGGCGGUUUUUUAAGUCUGAUGUGAAAGCCUUCGGCUCAACCGAAGAAGUGCAUCGGAAACUGGGAAACUUGAGUGCAGAAGAGGACAGUGGUGGAACUCCAUGUGUAGCGGUGAAAUGCGUAGAUAUAUGGAAGAACACCAGUGGCGAAGGCGGCUGUCUGGUCUGUAACUGACGCUGAGGCUCGAAAGUAUGGGUAGCAAACAGGAUUAGAUACCCUGGUAGUCCAUACCGUAAACGAUGAAUGCUAAGUGUUGGAGGGUUUCCGCCCUUCAGUGCUGCAGCUAACGCAUUAAGCAUUCCGCCUGGGGAGUACGGCCGCAAGGCUGAAACUCAAAGGAAUUGACGGGGGCCCGCACAAGCGGUGGAGCAUGUGGUUUAAUUCGAAGCUACGCGAAGAACCUUACCAGGUCUUGACAUACUAUGCAAAUCUAAGAGAUUAGACGUUCCCUUCGGGGACAUGGAUACAGGUGGUGCAUGGUUGUCGUCAGCUCGUGUCGUGAGAUGUUGGGUUAAGUCCCGCAACGAGCGCAACCCUUAUUAUCAGUUGCCAGCAUUAAGUUGGGCACUCUGGUGAGACUGCCGGUGACAAACCGGAGGAAGGUGGGGAUGACGUCAAAUCAUCAUGCCCCUUAUGACCUGGGCUACACACGUGCUACAAUGGAUGGUACAACGAGUUGCGAACUCGCGAGAGUAAGCUAAUCUCUUAAAGCCAUUCUCAGUUCGGAUUGUAGGCUGCAACUCGCCUACAUGAAGUCGGAAUCGCUAGUAAUCGCGGAUCAGCAUGCCGCGGUGAAUACGUUCCCGGGCCUUGUACACACCGCCCGUCACACCAUGAGAGUUUGUAACACCCAAAGUCGGUGGGGUAACCUUUUAGGAACCAGCCGCCUAAGGUGGGACAGAUGAUUAGGG
rnacentral:rRNA from 1 species